AACGAACGCUGGCGGCAUGCCUAACACAUGCAAGUCGAACGAGACCUUCGGGUCUAGUGGCGCACGGGUGCGUAACGCGUGGGAACCUGCCCUUAGGUUCGGAAUACCUCCCCGAAAGGGGUGCUAAUACCGGAUAAUGUCUUCCGACCAAAGAUUUAUUGCCUUUGGAUGGGCCCGCGUUGGAUUGGCUAGUUGGUAGGGUAAAAGCCUAUCAAGGCGACGAUCCAUAGCUGGUCAGAGAGCAUGAUCAGCCACACUGGGAGUGAGACACGGCCCAGCCUCCUACGGGAAGAGGCAGUGGGGAAUAAUGGACAGUGGGCGAAAGCCUGAGCCAGCCAUGGCGCGUGAGUGAUGAAGGCCUUAGGGUUGUAAAGCUCUUUUACCCGGGAGGAUAAGGACAGGACCGGGAGAAUAAGCCCCGGCUAACUCCGUG
rnacentral:rRNA from 1 species